rnacentral:snRNA from 1 species
UGCCGCUCACGCCCGGUCGUACUCAUAACC